rnacentral:rRNA from 1 species
UACGGGGGGGGCAAGCGUUGUUCGGAAUUACUGGGCGUAAAGGGCUCGUAGGUGGCCAACUAAGUCGGACGUGAAAUCCCCAGGCUCAACUUGGGAACUGCGUCCGAUACUGGAUGGCUUGAAUCCGGGAGAGGGAUGUGGAAUUCCAGGUGUAGCGGUGAAAUGCGUAGAUAUCUGGAGGAACACCGGUGGCGAAGGCGACAUCCUGGACCGGUAUUGACGCUGAGGCGCGAAAGCCAGGGGAGCAAACGGG